GAGUUGACGAUAAUGGAAUGAGCGGCGGACGGGUGAGUAACACGUAGGCAACCUGCCUGUAAGACUGGGAUAACUCGUGGAAACGCGAGCUAAUACCGGAUAACACUUUUCAUCUCCUGAUGAUAAGUUGAAAGGCGGCUUUUGCUGUCACUUACAGAUGGGCCUGCGGCGCAUUAGCUAGUUGGUAAGGUAACGGCUUACCAAGGCGACGAUGCGUAGCCGACCUGAGAGGGUGAUCGGCCACACUGGGACUGAGACACGGCCCAGACUCCUACGGGAGGCAGCAGUAGGGAAUCUUCCGCAAUGGACGAAAGUCUGACGGAGCAACGCCGCGUGAGUGAUGAAGGUUUUCGGAUCGUAAAACUCUGUUGUUAGGGAAGAACAAGUACUAUAGUAACUGAUGGUACCUUGACGGUACCUAACCAGAAAGCCACGGCUAACUACGUGCCAGCAGCCGCGGUAAUACGUAGGUGGCAAGCGUUGUCCGGAAUUAUUGGGCGUAAAGCGCUCGCAGGCGGUUCUUUAAGUCUGAUGUGAAAUCUUACGGCUCAA
rnacentral:rRNA from 1 species